CUAUUUUCCGAUAGAUGGACGGAUGUCCACAUGUGAAAAUAUAUUAUCAAAAUUCUCAUUUAUAAAACAAUUUUCUGUAUAACCAAGUGCUGACAUUUACAUACAAACAUGUCAUCUGGAGGAUAUCAGAGGGAGUUAGAUCUAGCACCAACUGCAACCAUUGAUAAAGUUGCUUUAAACAAUAAGGUUGUGCUAAUGAGAGCUAUUGUAAGACGAUCCAAAUUACACCUCAUUAAUGGUUUAGUAAAGAAAGUUCAUAAAUUGAGGGACAAAAAG